rnacentral:rRNA from 1 species
UUAAAUUGAAGAGUUUGAUCAUGGCUCAGAUUGAACGCUGGCGGCAGGCCUAACACAUGCAAGUCGAACGGUAACAGGAAGCAGCUUGCUGCUUCGCUGACGAGUGGCGGACGGGUGAGUAAUGUCUGGGAAACUGCCUGAUGGAGGGGGAUAACUACUGGAAACGGUGGCUAAUACCGCAUAACGUCGCAAGACCAAAGAGGGGGACCUUCGGGCCUCUUGCCAUCAGAUGUGCCCAGAUGGGAUUAGCUUGUUGGUGAGGUAACGGCUCACCAAGGCGACGAUCCCUAGCUGGUCUGAGAGGAUGACCAGCCACACUGGAACUGAGACACGGUCCAGACUCCUACGGGAGGCAGCAGUGGGGAAUAUUGCACAAUGGGCGCAAGCCUGAUGCAGCCAUGCCGCGUGUAUGAAGAAGGCCUUCGGGUUGUAAAGUACUUUCAGCGGGGAGGAAGGUGUUGUGGUUAAUAACCGCAGCAAUUGACGUUACCCGCAGAAGAAGCACCGGCUAACUCCGUGCCAGCAGCCGCGGUAAUACGGAGGGUGCAAGCGUUAAUCGGAAUUACUGGGCGUAAAGCGCACGCAGGCGGUCUGUCAAGUCGGAUGUGAAAUCCCCGGGCUCAACCUGGGAACUGCAUUCGAAACUGGCAGGCUUGAGUCUUGUAGAGGGGGGUAGAAUUCCAGGUGUAGCGGUGAAAUGCGUAGAGAUCUGGAGGAAUACCGGUGGCGAAGGCGGCCCCCUGGACAAAGACUGACGCUCAGGUGCGAAAGCGUGGGGAGCAAACAGGAUUAGAUACCCUGGUAGUCCACGCCGUAAACGAUGUCUACUUGGAGGUUGUGCCCUUGAGGCGUGGCUUCCGGAGCUAACGCGUUAAGUAGACCGCCUGGGGAGUACGGCCGCAAGGUUAAAACUCAAAUGAAUUGACGGGGGCCCGCACAAGCGGUGGAGCAUGUGGUUUAAUUCGAUGCAACGCGAAGAACCUUACCUGGUCUUGACAUCCACAGAAGUUUCCAGAGAUGGAUUUGUGCCUUCGGGAACUGUGAGACAGGUGCUGCAUGGCUGUCGUCAGCUCGUGUUGUGAAAUGUUGGGUUAAGUCCCGCAACGAGCGCAACCCUUAUCCUUUGUUGCCAGCGGUUAGGCCGGGAACUCAAAGGAGACUGCCAGUGAUAAACUGGAGGAAGGUGGGGAUGACGUCAAGUCAUCAUGGCCCUUACGACCAGGGCUACACACGUGCUACAAUGGCGCAUACAAAGAGAAGCGACCUCGCGAGAGCAAGCGGACCUCAUAAAGUGCGUCGUAGUCCGGAUUGGAGUCUGCAACUCGACUCCAUGAAGUCGGAAUCGCUAGUAAUCGUGGAUCAGAAUGCCACGGUGAAUACGUUCCCGGGCCUUGUACACACCGCCCGUCACACCAUGGGAGUGGGUUGCAAAAGAAGUAGGUAGCUUAACCUUCGGGAGGGCGCUUACCACUUUGUGAUUCAUGACUGGGGUGAAGUCGUAACAAGGUAACCGUAGGGGAACCUGCGGUUGGAUCACCUCCUUACCUUAAAGAA